rnacentral:tRNA from 1 species
GCCUGGGUGGCUCAGUCAGUUAAGCCUCUGACUUUGGCUCAGGUCAUGAUCUCGAGGUUCGUGGGUUCGAGUCCUGCUUCGGGCU